GAUGAACGCUGGCGGCGUGCCUAAUACAUGCAAGUCGAGCGAACAGACGAGGAGCUUGCUCCUCUGACGUUAGCGGCGGACGGGUGAGUAACACGUGGAUAACCUACCUAUAAGACUGGGAUAACUUCGGGAAACCGGAGCUAAUACCGGAUAAUAUAUUGAACCGCAUGGUUCAAUAGUGAAAGACGGUUUUGCUGUCACUUAUAGAUGGAUCCGCGCCGCAUUAGCUAGUUGGUAAGGUAACGGCUUACCAAGGCAACGAUGCGUAGCCGGCCUGAGAGGGUGAUCGGCCACACUGGAACUGAGACACGGUCCAGACUCCUACGGGAGGCAGCAGUAGGGAAUCUUCCGCAAUGGGCGGAAGCUUGACGGAGCAACGCCGCGUGAGUGAUGAAGGUCUUCGAGUUGUAAACCGCUUUCGCCUGUGACGAAGCGUGAGUGACGGUAAUGGGUAAAGAAGCACCGGCUAACUACGUG
rnacentral:rRNA from 1 species